rnacentral:pre_miRNA from 1 species
ACAUCGAGACCAAUGGGAGAAGAGAGAGAGUACAGCCUCAGACGUCAGUAGUGUCUGAGGUGAGGCUGUACCCUCUCUCUUCUUCUCUUGCUCUAUCGAUGG